GGGCCUGUUGCUCAGAGGAUUAGAGCACGUGGCUACGAACCACGGUGUCGGGGAUUCGAAUCCCUCCUCAUCCA
rfam:Macleaya cordata isolate BLH2017 scaffold8915, whole genome shotgun sequence.